rnacentral:rRNA from 1 species
GAGCUAAUCCCGCAUACGCCCUUCGGGGGAAAGCCGCAAGGCGCAGGCGGAGGGGCCCGCGGCCCAUCAGGUUGUUGGUGGGGUAACGGCCUACCAAGGCGACGAUCCGUAGCUGGUCUGAGAGGACGAUCAGCCACACUGGGACUGAGACACGGCCCAGACUCCUACGGGAGGCAGCAGUGGGGAAUCUUGCGCUAAUGCGGGAAACCGUGACGCAGCGACGCCGCGUGAGGGAAGAAGGCCUUCGGGUUGUAAACCUCUUUCAGGAGGGACGAAGCUACUCGGGUGAAUAGCCCAGAGGGUGACGGUACCUCCAGAAGAAGCCCCGGCUAACUACGUGCCAGCAGCCGCGGUAAUACGUAGGGGGCUAGCGUUGUCCGGAUUUAUUGGGCGUAAAGAGCGUGUAGGCGGCUAGGUAGGUCCGUUGUGAAAACUCGAGGCUCAACCUCGAGACGUCGAUGGAAACCAUCUAGCUAGAGUCCGGAAGAGGAGAGUGGAAUUCCUGGUGUAGCGGUGAAAUGCGCAGAUAUCAGGAAGAACACCCGUGGCGAAGGCGGCUCUCUGGUACGUGACUGACGCUGAGACGCGAAAGCGUGGGGAGCGAACAGGAUUAGAUACCCUGGUAGUCCACGCCGUAAACGAUGGGUGCUAUGUGUGGGCGGUGUCGACUCCGUCCGUGCCGAAGCUAACGCAUUAAGCACCCC